rnacentral:rRNA from 1 species
UACGUAGGUGGCGAGCGUUAUCCGGAUUUACUGGGUGUAAAGAGCGUGUAGGCGGGUUUGCAAGUCGGGUGUGAAAGAUCCAGGCUUAACUUGGAGAGGUCAUCCGAAACUGCAGAUCUUGAGUGCUGGAGAGGAUAGUGGAAUUCCUGGUGUAGCGGUAAAAUGCGUAGAUAUCAGGAGGAACACCAGUGGCGAAGGCGGCUAUCUGGACAGUAACUGACGCUGAGGCGCGAAAGCGUGGGGAGCAAACAGGAUUAGA